rnacentral:pre_miRNA from 1 species
UAUAUACUCCCUCUGUCCAAAAAUACUUGUCAUCAAAAUGGAUAAAAGGGAUGUAUCUAGAUGUAUUUUAGUUUUAGAUACAUCCCUUUUUAUCCAUUUUGAUGACAAGUAUUUUCGGACGGAGGGAGUAUAAU